AUGUACACACACACACGUAUGCACGUGAAAUUCCAAAGAGAAAAAGCAAUAUCAGAAAAACAAUGCCUUAUUUCGAAAACACAAUGCUGUGAAACAAGUCUAAUAAUCUCCACUUUCCUCCCCACUCCUUCACCUCCUUAUCCACAGAUAUCCCAGGCUUGUCUGGAACUGCAGGAGCUUUGCGCGUCUACUUUUCCAAGUCGCCCCGUGGAUCCUCCUUCAGCUAUUUCUCCAACUCACACGCGCGCGUUCCCUGUCCCUGACAGCUCGUGCAGCAUCCAGAUGCAAGAGAUCAUGUUUAACGACAUCCAGCCGCAGUUUGGGGACGUUAUGUUGCCCGGCAACGGCUACAGCAACAACAACAACCCCUGCGCAAGCACCAGCUACAACACCUCCCUGCCUCUCCAUCCCACCUCCCCGCUGCCUUGGUGCCACGGGCUCUCUUCUGAUGCAGACUUUUAUGGCAAUGGAAUGGCUCCCUGCUCCUCGUCGGCAUCCCCAACGCUUUGCAACUCCAUGGAUCACAACAGUUACUCACCACAGGACUCCUUCUCCUCCUCCUCUUCCUCUUGUUAUGACUCGCCCACCAGGAUAGAGCCCAGCUACCGUGGCCUUGCCUCGGAAUACUUCCACUACCAGCACUGUAACCCACAGGACUGUUACUGUCUGCCGCACUGUUGGCCUAGCCAGCAGGAGAGCUUCACUGCCCCUGAAAAUGCAUCUUACAACAACCCGACAGACUAUCCAUAUGCCUGUCCUGUGGAGGAGGACUACUUUAGGAGGGAUUAUCCAGUGAGCUCUGAAAUGUGCUACAAUGUUCUAUGAAGAGCCCUUCAGCAGUAGUAAUCUGUGUCCUGCCUGUAAAAAUGAUCCUUUUCUUGUACUCAGUGAGGCUGUUUGCUAGAUGGUCUGGUUUGCAUUUCAGUUUGUGUGCUGUGACGGGCUUUUGCUUGGUGAACACGAUGAAUGUUGAAUGGAUGGUAAUCCCAAUAUUUUUGUACUUUUUUUUAAAUUUAGAUUUAUUUUCAUAUGCAUAAACUGUUGCUAUACAAAAUAAAAAAAGCUUCAAACUUAAAUGGGUAUAAAAU
ensembl:lncRNA